ACUGACUGGUACCGUUUGUAAUUGCGAUCUUCGGCGAAUCAUCGACAUCGCACCGUUUAUUAUGUAGUCUGCUCAGACUAGAGGGAUGGAGUCCCUAUCUAAAAUUAUUAUUAACCAGUCAGUAGUUUAGUUGAAAGUAACUAGAGAAAUUUAGUAUUUUUUUAUAUUUUUUUAAAUUAAUCAUGAUGACUUCCGUGGCUACCGCGAAUCGUGGUACGAGUUUUCGGAGACGAGGCGCCCUCUCCUGAGCGCCAGGACCAACACCCUGUUUUGACAGGGUUCCAAGUUUGGGGCAGCCAAAAUCCUCUGCCAGAACCUCUGGAGUCGGUUCUUGAGCAGACCCCACCACCUUUAGGCCAACUACCUCGCUCACCGUCUACCUACAGCCCCGGGUGAUACCCGCAUUAUUCUAUUAUUCUAUUCACGAACUCAACAAAAAAAAAAUAGUGUAACCCAGUUAAGACAGCGGACAGUAAAAGCAGUUCGAGGAGGAGAAAUUUAUUUUAUGUUUUGCAAGGACUAUAUGUACAACCAUUAAAGUUACCAAUGUUGAUUUCAUUAAUGUGCUUAAGUAUUGUUAUUUUUGUUAAACAUUCAGGGCCGGCCCGAUAGGAGAUAAGUUCAAAGAAUAUAAUAUAAUAAUUGUAAUUGUGAGGAAUUUAAAUAAGAUCACUUAUCAAUGAAAAACAGAUGUUAUUAAGGAAAAUUUAAUCUAUAAAAAAAUAAA